GCGUCGGUGGUGCAACGGAUCAGUACGCACUCACGGAAAGAAUGAGAACUGGGUUCGAAUCCUGGCUGACGCC